rnacentral:misc_RNA from 1 species
UAUUUUAUUUUUUUAUAUUUUUUUAAACUUUUGACAACUUGUCAAUUUAUCCACAGCAACACAAUUGCACACUAUUUUUAAUAUCAUGUAAAAUUGAAAAACCAUGAACAACUGCUUCUUAACAUGCAUUAUGUGAUAGCAUUUAUGCAAGGGAAAAGUUUUAGAAAAGUACCCUGUGAUCUUGUAUUGUGUUAGGACGAUGAGAUUCAAUUAUAUUUUUUU